UACAGAGGGUGCAAGCGUUGUUCGGAAUUACUGGGCGUAAAGCGCGCGCAGGCGGAUCCUGCAAGUCCGGAGUGAAAUCUCACUGCUCAACGGUGGGGCUGCUUUGGAUACUGCGGAUCUGGAGACCGGUAGAGGCUGGUAGAAUUGCAGGUGUAGCGGUGGAAUGCGUAGAGAUCUGCAAGAAUACCCGUGGCGAAGGCGGCCAGCUGGGCCGGUUCUGACGCUGAGGCGCGAAAGCGUGGGGAGCGAACAGG
rnacentral:rRNA from 1 species